rnacentral:rRNA from 1 species
AACGAACGCUGGCGGCAUGCCUAACACAUGCAAGUCGAACGAGACCUUCGGGUCUAGUGGCGCACGGGUGCGUAACGCGUGGGAACCUGCCCUUAGGUUCGGAAUAACUCCCCGAAAGGGGUGCUAAUACCGGAUAAUGUCUUCGGACCAAAGAUUUAUCGCCUUUGGAUGGGCCCGCGUUGGAUUAGCUAGUUGGUAGGGUAAAAGCCUACCAAGGCGACGAUCCAUAGCUGGUCUGAGAGGAUGAUCAGCCACACUGGGACUGAGACACGGCCCAGACUCCGACGGGAGGCAGCAGUGGGGAAUAUUGGAGAAGGGGCGAAAGCCUGAUCCAGCAAUGCGGCGUAAGUGAUGAAGGCCUUAGGGUUGUAAAGCUCUUUUACCCGGGAUGAUAAUGACAGUACCGGGAGAAUAAGCACCGGCUAACUCCGUG